rnacentral:lncRNA from 1 species
UCUGAUCAACCCCAAUAUAAAUGUGAACCAGAUACUGCACGCCCCUGCAAUUCUCCAUUCAUCAUACAUAUACAAAAUGAACAUCUGGAAGGGAUGGCUUUGGUCGGAUCACGUACAUAUUGAGUAUUGACUGAUGGGUACGUAUAUAGUUACCCAACACGUCAUCAUCAUUAUAUUAUGUAUAAAUACUACACUAUGCAUAAUAACAAAUUACAUAUACUGUAUGAGGGAUAUGGGGUGAUCUCUGCUGCAAGCCUGCAAUAGUUUCUCUGCUGAAUUAUGCUGAACAAUAGCAAUAGUUUCACUGCAAUAGUUUCUCUGCAAGCCUGCAGUAGUAGUUGGAUUUUUUAUAUUUUGGUUCACCUAGAUGUAGACUGCAGAUUGAUCGCGUUCUUAAGGUAUUUGUUAUGAUUAAUUUCUGUUGUUAAUUUUGUUUUUCUAGUUUCCUUGUUUUGCUGUCGUUAUUAUAUCUAGUUGAGUUACUUGAGAACUCUCUGAAAAUAAACUCAAAACAAAUUCUUAGCUAUUUCAAAGACACAGACAGCUCAUGUAGAACCAUAAUUUGAAUUUCUAUCCCCACAGACCACAGUUAAUAUUAGUCGGGUUCAUUGUGAGAUUUUGUAGGCAGUAAUAAUUUUAGUGUUCUGCAAUGGCUUAUAUCAUAUAAAUGACGCUGAUUCAAGUUUGGUUCUUUUGUGGAGAUUUUUUUGAUUCUUCUGGGUGAUGAUCUUAAUUUCAUGAAGAUCAUUAUCCCUGAAUACAGUACCUUUCAAAUUUUUAUUUUUGCGAAGACUUCAUACAUAAUAAUUUGGGAAAGUUCAAGUAAGAUCAAUUUGGGACUCUGGGUACCUCUAAAUUGAUUUUCAUAACAACAAAUUUUUAUAUGGAUGUUUUUUUCCUCAGUCUUUGGAAGCCUAACCAACAGGCUACCAGUCUUUCACAUUUUAUUAUUCUCUCUCUCUUCACAUGCCUAUUCAACAGAAAGUGCUAUAGGCAAAAACAAAACAGUAUAAUUUUCUUAAGAAAUUGAAAUCAAUUUGAUCUUCAGGAGAUAUGUAGGUGCCUAACUUUUAACAUCAUCACCUAAAGAUACCUCUAAUUGCUAGUUUUAACUGCAAUUGCAAUCUGUGCGAUUCAUGAAACUAAAUUGCAAUUUGCCCAAUCAUCUACCACUAUUAUUAUGUGUAUAAGAACAACAAUCAAACAGUCAAAGAACAAUCAAUAUUAAAUAAAUUUGUACCUGACAAAAACUUUGCAGAAGUUUUAUUGAUUGAGCGCCAACAAUUAAGAAGAAAAAGGAGAUCGAUUUGUUUGAUUUUGUGUUUGUUGAUUGGGUUAGAACAAUUAUAUAGAAGUGAAGGAAUUUUGUGUUUGUUGAUUGGGUUAGAACAAUUAUAUAGAAGUGAAGGAAGAAGAAGUAAAUAGAUUUUCAUUACAAUUUGUAUUGAAAAUCACUUUCUAUUUUUAUUUUUAUUUCCAUUACAAUUUGAUUUGAAGUUGGAAAAG